UUUGGUGUUCUGUGCUUUUAAGACUGAUAUUCUAGAGUAGAAUUACAAAAAUAGUGGUCUUUUAUGCCUGUAGGAAAGUUUUUUUAUGAAAGAUCAUGCUAAUUUCUAUUUCUGCUAGUUGAGGAUGAGAGCCUAAAUCCCUAGCCUUGAUAAUAAUAGAUCUUGUUAAGCCCGAUCUGGAUUGCAUGUCAUUUUAAUGAUUUUAGAGAUGCCUCCCUCCCUGUGGGUGACAGGGUGGGUUACUGUCAGGUGUCCUUGGGAGCUUCUCACCAAGUCUUCAUUUUUUUCUCUCAUGCAUUUAUUUUGAGUGACUCUGGAUCAUGCUAUGCUGGUGGCUGGCUAUGGCUAUUAAGGGGCAGAGUCGGAUAACAACGAACAUUGGCUGGUGAGGAACAGCUGGGGUAAACGCUGGGGCAUGGAUGGCUGCAUGAAGAUGGCCAAAGACUGGAGGAACAACUGUGGAAUCGCCACAGCAGCCAGCUACCCCACUGUGUGAGCUGAUGGGUGGUGAUGAGGGGACUUGACUGCGGAUGGCACAUCCGGAGGAGGAAUUUAUCUUCUGUCUACCAGCCCCUACUGUGUGGGAUGCACACUUCAGUCAUUGAAGAUCUAAGUGUGAUUUGACUUCUGUGAUAUUUUCACAGUGGUAAAUGUUACCUCUAUUUUAAUUACUGUUAUAAACAUGUUUAUGAUGUAGAA